rnacentral:rRNA from 1 species
UUAGCGGCGGACGGGUGAGUAACGCGUGAGCAACCUUUCUCUCAGUGGGGAAUAACACAGGGAAACUUGUACUAAUACCGCAUGAGACCACGGUAAGGCAUCUUACAGGGGUCAAAGAUUUAUCGCUGAGAGGUGGGCUCGCGUCCGAUUAGGUAGUUGGUGAGGUAACGGCCCACCAAGCCGACGAUCGGUAGCCGACCUGAGAGGAUGAACGGCCACAUUGGGACUGAGAUACGGCCCAGACUCCUACGGGAGGCAGCAGUGGGGAAUAUUGGGCAAUGGGGGAAACCCUGACCCAGCAACGCCGCGUGAAGGAAGAAGGCCUUCGGGUUGUAAACUUCUUUUACCAGGGACGAAUAUUGACGGUACCUGGAGAAAAAGCAACGGCUGACUACGUGCCAGCAGCCGCGGUAAUACGUAGGUUGCAAGCGUUGUCCGGAUUUACUGGGUGUAAAGGGCGUGUAGGCGGAGAUGCAAGUUGGGAGUGAAAUCCCGGGGCUCAACCCCGGAACUGCUUUCAAAACUGUAUCCCUUGAGUGUCGGAGAGGCAAGCGGAAUUCCUAGUGUAGCGGUGAAAUGCGUAGAUAUUAGGAGGAACACCAGUGGCGAAGGCGGCUUGCUGGGCCUGUACUGACGUUGAGGCACGAAAGCGUGGGGAGCAAACAGGAUUAGAUACCCUGGUAGUCCACGCCCUAAACGAUGAGUACUAAGUGUUGCCGUAAGGCAGUGCUGAAGUUAACGCAUUAAGUACUCCGCCUGAGUAGUACGUACGCAAGUAUGAAACUUAAAGGAAUUGACGGGAGCCCGCACAAGCGGUGGAGCAUGUUGUUUAAUUCGACGAUACGCGAAGAACCUUACCAGGUCUUGACAUCUCCUGCGAAGCUAUAGAGAUAUAGUGGAGGUUAGCAGGAUGACAGGUGGUGCAUGGUUGUCGUCAGCUCGUGUCGUGAGAUGUUGGGUUAAGUCCCGCAACGAGCGCAACCCUUAUUGCUAGUUACCAUCAUUAAGUUGGGGACUCUAGCGAGACUGCCAGUGACAAAUUGGAGGAAGGUGGGGAUGACGUCAAAUCAUCAUGCCCCUUAUGAUCAGGGCUACACACGUGCUACAAUGGCGUAAACAAAGAGAAGCGAACCUGUGAGGGUGGGCAAAUCUCAAAAAUAACGUCUCAGUUCGGAUUGUAGUCUGCAACUCGACUACAUGAAGCUGGAAUCGCUAGUAAUCGCGAAUCAGAAUGUCGCGGUGAAUACGUUCCCGGGUCUU